rnacentral:rRNA from 1 species
AUUGAACGCUGGCGGCAGGCCUAACACAUGCAAGUCGAGCGAGCGGCGGACGGGUGAGUAAUGUAUGGGGACUGCCCGAUAGAGGGGGAUAACUACUGGAAACAGUAGCUAAUACCGCAUACUAUCGGAUAACCCAUAUGGGAUUAGCUAGUAGGUGAGGUAAUGGCUCACCUAAGCGACGAUCCCUAGCUGGUCUGAAGGGAUGAUCAGCCACACUGGGGCUUGGACACGGCCCAGACUCCUACGGAGGCAGCAGUGGGGAAGAUUGCACAAUGGGCGCAAGCGUGAUGCAGCCAUGCCGCGUGUAUGAAGAAGGCCCUAGGGUUGUAAAGUACUGUCAGUCGGGAGGCGGUACCGACAGAAGAAGCACCGGCUAACUACGUGCCAGCUGGCGCGGUAAUAC